rnacentral:rRNA from 1 species
GACGAACGCUGGCGGCGUGCUUAACACAUGCAAGUCGAACGGAAAGGCCCUUCGGGGUGCUCGAGUGGCGAACGGGUGAGUAACACGUGGGUGAUCUGCCCUGCACUUCGGGAUAAGCCUGGGAAACUGGGUCUAAUACCGGAUAGGACCGCAUGCUUCAUGGUGUGUGGUGGAAAGCUUUUGCGGUGUGGGAUGGGCCCGCGGCCUAUCAGCUUGUUGGUGGGGUAAUGGCCUACCAAGGCGACGACGGGUAGCCGGCCUGAGAGGGUGUCCGGCCACACUGGGACUGAGAUACGGCCCAGACUCCUACGGGAGGCAGCAGUGGGGAAUAUUGCACAAUGGGCGCAAGCCUGAUGCAGCGACGCCGCGUGGGGGAUGACGGCCUUCGGGUUGUAAACCUCUUUCAGCACAGACGAAGCGCAAGUGACGGUAUGUGCAGAAGAAGCACCGGCCAACUACGUGCCAGCCGCCGCGGUAACAC